UCGGGAAUUUUGGGCAAUGGGCGAAAGCCUGACCCAGCAACGCCGCGUGAAGGAUGAAGUAUUUCGGUAUGUAAACUUCGAAAGAAUAGGAAGAAUAAAUGACGGUACUAUUUAUAAGGUCCGGCUAACUACGUGCCAGCAGCCGCGGUAAUACGUAGGGACCAAGCGUUGUUCGGAUUUACUGGGCGUAAAGGGCGCGUAGGCGGCAAUUCAAGUCAUCUGUGAAAUCUCCGGACUUAACUUGGAACGGUCAGAUGAUACUGCUUUGCUAGAGUGCAGAAGGGGCAAUCGGAAUUCUUGGUGUAGCGGUGAAAUGCGUAGAUAUCAAGAGGAACACCUGAGGUGAAGACGGGUUGCUGGGCUGACACUGACGCUGAGGCGCGAAAGCCAGGGGAGCAAACGGGAUUAGAUACCCCAGUAGUCCCUGAGCGGGCUGGCAAGGCGCAU
rnacentral:rRNA from 1 species